AGUAGCAUGCAGGAUGACGGCCNUAUAGGUUGUAAAANGCUUUUAAGCGGGGAUAAAGUGGCCCACGUGUGGGUUUUUGCAGGUACCGCAUGAAUAAGGACCGGCUAAUUCCGUGCCNGCAGCCGCGGUAAUAAGGAAGGUCCGGGCGUUAUCCGGAUUUAUUGGGUUUAAAGGGAGCGUAGGCCGCCCCUUAAGCNUGUUGUGAAAUGCGGGUGCUCAACAUCCGACUUGCAGCGCGAACUGGGGGGCUUGAGUGCGCCGAAAGUAGGCGGAAUUCGUGGUGUAGCGGUGAAAUGCUUAGAUAUCACGAAGAACUCCGAUUGCGAAGGCAGCUUACUGUAGCGCAACUGACGCUGAUGCUCGAAAGCGUGGGUAUCGAACAGG
rnacentral:rRNA from 1 species